ACCCUUUUAGUAUAUAAGUAUAUUUAACUUCCAAUUAAAAGGAUUAGUUUAAUCUAAAAAGGGUA
rnacentral:tRNA from 1 species